rnacentral:rRNA from 1 species
AGCGAACGCUGGCGUCAGGCCUAACACAUGCAAGUCGAACGAAGUCUUCGGACUUAGUGGCGGACGGGUGAGUAACACGUGGGAACGUACCUUUUGGUUCGGAACAACUCAGGGAAACUUGAGCUAAUACCGGAUGAGCCCUUAGGGGGAAAGAUUUAUCGCCGAAAGAGCGGCCCGCGUUAGAUUAGCUAGUUGGUGAGGUAAAGGCUCACCAAGGCUACGAUCUAUAGCUGGUCUGAGAGGAUGAUCAGCCACACUGGGACUGGGACACGGCCCAGACUCCUACGGGAGGCAGCAGUGGGGAAUCUUGCGCAAUGGGCGAAAGCCUGACGCAGCCAUGCCGCGUGAAUGAUGAAGGUCUUAGGAUUGUAAAAUUCUUUUACCAGGGACGAUAAUGACGGUACCUGGAGAAAAAGCCCCGGCUAACUUCGUGCCAGCCGCCGCCGUAAGAC